GAUGAACGCUGGCGGCGUGCCUAAUAAAUGCAAGUCGAGCGAACAGACGAGGAGCUUGCUCCUUUGACGUUAGCGGCGGACGGGUGAGUAACAAGUAGGUAACCUACCUAUAAGACUGGGAUAACUUCGGGAAAACGGAGCUAAAACCGGAUAAUAUUUCGAACCGCAUGGUUCGAUAGUGAAAGAUGGCUUUGCUAUCAAUUAUAGAUGGACCUGCGCCGUAUUAGCUAGUUGGUAAGGUAACGGCUGACCAAGGCAACGAUACGUAGCCGCCCUGAGAGGGUGAUCGGCCACACUGGAACUGAGACACGGUCCAGACUCCUACGGGAGGCAGCAGUAGGGAAUCUUCCGCAAUGGGCGAAAGCCUGACGGAGCAACGCCGCGUGAGUGAUGAAGGUCUUCGGAUCGUAAAACUCUGUUAUUAGGGAAGAACAAACGUGUAAGUAACUGUGCACGUCUUGACGGUACCUAAUCAGAAAGCCACGGCUAACUACGUG
rnacentral:rRNA from 1 species